CUCAUGUCUUAAAAUAGAUGCUUGUAAUAUGGUUUAGAAUGCGCACAUUGGCCAGCCAACCUUGACCACACUGUGAAACAGAGUGCAAUGUGAUCUCUGUUCCAUGACUACAGGCAGAGAACUACAGAAAAAGUGUCUGGGGCAUUCAUCUCAGCUGAUGGAGACACAAAAUCAAUUUUCUCCCUUGCUUGAAAGGAAUUAAUCCCAUAUUGUAACAAGAA
rnacentral:lncRNA from 1 species